GACGAACCGUGCGAACGUCGUUCGGAAUCACUGGGCUUAAAGGGCGCGUAGGCGGGCACGCAAGUCAGGGGUGAAAUCCCCCGGCCCAACCGGGGAACGGCUUUUGAUACUGCGUGUCUCGAGGGGGGUAGGGGCAUGCGGAACUUCCGGUGGAGCGGUGAAAUGCGUAGAUAUCGGAAGGAACGCCGGUGGCGAAAGCGGCGUGCUGGACCCCUUCUGACGCUGAGGCGCGAAAGCCAGGGGAGCAAACGGG
rnacentral:rRNA from 1 species